ACGAUUUCACUUGACAUCCGGUUUCCACAUGCCAGCCGUUGCUCUAAAAUGACUCUCCGUCGUCUCAAGUUUGCAAAACAGAAGUAUGCCAGUCGUAAAUCAUUUUCCGAAGAUACAGGCAGCUUGUAAUUUUGCCAAAUGCAAGACAAAGAGUGUUUUGAGGAGGAACUGCGAGUUUGUUCAACAUUUUUCCCAUGAACACGAAAAAGAUGACAUGCUUAGAAUGCUGUGAGAAAUGACAUCCUUGCGGAUGCUCCUGGGAGAGGAAAGUGAUGAGGGAGGAUGUGCGUGCGUAUUGCAUAUUUGUUGGUAGCGUCACGCAAAAGUAGCAAUCUGACAAAGACAGAUAAGGUCGACAUGGAUUGAGGUAAAACCAAUCCCUCGUGAGUUGACAAAAGACGGUCAGCUGAAGUCAGAGGUCAAGCCCAAGGAGUUUCCCUGUCAGUUUCAUUUUAAAAGUCUGUUGCUUAAAAAAAAAAAAAAAAAAGCCCAGCAUAGAGCUAUUGGUAUAUUUGCAAGACCAGCAAAAAAAAAGUUGUUUUUUUUUUUGCAAGGUGGCAGCUUCAUAAAAAAUUCAUUCAGAAAAUACAAAAGGAAUACUUGAAAAAUAAACAAAUAAAUAGAUGGGUUAUACCUUGGGCAUUCAAUCAUUUUAGGUGAGGUUUUACUAACCAACUAUGUUUAAGUUUUAGAUACGAGUAGCCCUGGCUGUAUCUUUAAAACAAUAAAUAUUUAUUUUUUUAUAAACUGUGACAUAUUGCACAAUCACUGCUUUGUGUGGCGGGAUUGACACAAAAACAAGGAAGCAGGUUGACAAGGCAAGAGCGGAAAAGUCUCAAAAGGGUAUUUUGUCACACAAAAAAAAAGCUUACCUAGUUGUACUUCACUUGGAAAAACAAACAACACAUCAUGGCGCCACAAAGAACAACACAAUGAACCGACUCCGACAGCAACAAACCUGGACUUUAUAUACAAACACACUAAUGAAACAACAAGGCACUCCUGGUUGGAGAAAGCUGAUCGGUUGACAGAGGAUCCAAGCCCAAAAAAAAAAAAUCACCAAAACAAUCUAUGUCAACAAAAACCACCUUAGCUAUACAAGUAACCUUUCUAGAUAAGAAAACAGGUAAAAUAACUGACUACAACGAAUGCACUUGUUUGUUGACAUUCCAGCAACUUAUUUUGAUAAGGCAAGAGAAAUUAAAACAAGAAAAUGACUAUGACAAAUUCA